UACCAGCACCCCGAGUGGUCGGGACGAUUAUUGGGCCUAAAGCCUCCGUAGCCGGUUCUGCAAGUCCCCCGUUAAAUCCAGCUGCUCAACAGAUGGGCCGCGGAGGAUACUACAGAGCUAGGAGGCAGGAGAGGCAAGCGGUACUCAGUGGGUAGGGGUAAAAUCCGUUGAUCCAUUGAAGACCACCAGUGGCGAAGGCGGCUUGCCAGAAUGCGCUCGACGGUGAGGGAUGAAAGCUGGGGGAGCAAACCGG
rnacentral:rRNA from 1 species